GGCGACGCGUCUGCGUCGACGUCUGUCAAUGCCAAUCAGUGGCCGGCGCGAUAUGAUGAGUGUAAGAUUCCGAAUCCCGAUUCACGAGUCACGAGUCCCGGUGUGAAUGAUAUUCGAGCCAUUAUACCCAACCCAUCAACUGCCACUCGAAGUCUCCAGCUCCUUGUGCAUUAAAUCAAAGAAGCGUAGCCAGCACGUGCCUGAAAUAUGCAUUAACACACCACCAUCACCAUCGCAAUCAGAUGUGGCAUCAGCAUCCCAUCACCCACUCUAUUUUUUUCUUGAAUAUUCGUGACCCAUGCCACAAACAGAUCACACCAACAUUUGCCUGCGUUUCUGUUUGGAGGAGGGUUGGAGGCACAGCCACCGGGAAUGAAAUCAUUUUUAAUAUUAAUUGCUGCAAUCGAGUGACCAUGACAACAGCGAGAGAGCAACCCUCAAGGAUCCUUUGGACACCAGAACCAGGAACUCCGCACCCAUGAAUGGAAACAGAAAACAGCCAGCAAAGUGGUUGGCUUGGAACAGCAGCAUCUUUCUUCAACCACCCGUGACAAGUCGGUGGCGGAUGUGGCAAUUGAAUUUGGUUUUCGUACUACCAUUCUGGCAACUGUCCGUUAAAUAAAAACCCAGACAAUAUUUGUUUGUCGCUCAAGGGGAGGACCUUUCUGGUCCGGACUGGCCCUGACAGCUAAAUGAACCACUGAGCAUGUUCGAUUUGUGAUUGCCGGCAGAUUAAUGGACUUUGUAAUGCAAUCUGAAAAGGCUCAUCUGAGGAUAGGUAUUCAGAAAAAAGGAUUCUCCAUUUGCUCUAUUUCAAGGAGAAUAGAAAUAAGGAGGCUCUUCAACAAAGUUUCCAUCAUUUUUAAAAAUGCACCGCGGCCCACAUUCAAUUGAAAAUCUCUGGACCAAAAAGGAAACGCAGGACAGAAAAAUGUGGAGAAAAUGUGUAAUGAGAAAUGAGGAGGCCAGAGAGUUUUAUGACAAACAUCCACUCGAGAAAUAAAGUCAGAUUAUAAAAUAAAAUGUACCAAAACGGACUUGCAGCAAAGGCAAGUUACAUGGCCACCAAGCCGAAAGCAAAACAAGGGCAGGACGAACAGGAUGCGGGAGGAGCCAAGGAGCAAAUCAACCGCCCACAAAACAGGACAAACACCAAGCAAACGAAAUGCGAAAGGACACUUAACUGCGACGGACAACAACAAAUAGCGGUUCGUUGGUCGUUAGGAAAUGAGCUAGACCGACGAACGAAGAAAAUAUUUGAGGAAUUACCCCAAAGUGUAUUGCGAAGAAUGCGGAAAGUUAAGGCUAAUUCGGGAGGAAUAUACUUCUACUACUCUUUUAA